UUCUCAGAAUGGGUGCAAGGAUGCGUUCUGCUUGUAGGGUGGCAAAACGUUCGGCAUAGGUCAUGGGAAUAGGGUCAAAUAUUCUUCUUUCUUGGGUUUGGAAUUGUGCAGAUAGAUUAUGGUUUUGGGUUUGGUUGAUAGUUGGAUCUAGGUGGUCGGGGUUGAUAUUGGUUGGGUCGUGGUUGGUUAUAUUGAGGUGUUUGAUUUUGUU
rnacentral:lncRNA from 1 species